AUGAGCAGUUCAGAUAGAAUCGAACUUUCGAUUGAUCCAGGUACUUGGAAUCCUAUGGAUGAAGACAUGUUUUCUCUGGAUCCCAUUGAAUGGGACAAACCUUAUACGGAAGACGAACCUUCUACGGAAGACGAAUACGACUCUUCUACGGAAGACGAAUACGAAUCUUCUACGGAAGACAAACCUUCUAACGAACCUUCUACGGAAGACAAACCUUCUAACGAACCUUCGACGGAAGACAAACCUUCUAACGAACCUUCGACGGAAGACAAACCUUCUAACGAACCUUCGACGGAAGACAAACCUUAUACGGAAGACGAAUCUUCUCCGGAAGACGAAUCUUCUCCGGAAGACGAAUCUUCUCCGGAAGACGAAUCUUCUCCGGAAGACGAACCUUCUACGGAAGACGAAUACGACUCUUCUACGGAAGACGAACCUUAUAUAGAUCGUCUUGA
rnacentral:lncRNA from 1 species